UCCGGAAGUUGGAUGCCAAGUUGUUGGAAGGACUUGGGUCUCCUGGGAGCAGUGCCUGUCCCCCUGCUGUGGAGACCUCCUGAAGCUUCGGGAUCCCUGGGUUGGUGACACCUGCCUGCCCUCACUUUGUUUGCCUCACUAGACUCUGAAAUUUUCCUCAGCAGCAGCUGAUGGAGACAAGUUUGACCUGAAGUUAUCCUCAUCCUAGUCGGGAGGAAGGCAUGUACAGCCGGGAGACCUGAGCCGGGAGACCAGGAGGAAGCUUCAAGAAACACGAGAAAUACAAAGAGGAAGAGACUGGCCAGAGCUGAGCAGCUGGCAUUCCUCCCGACUCUGACACCUGUCUGCUCAGUUUGGAGUGAGACGGUGAGAAGAGGGCAUAGAAUCUAGAGUUACAGGUUGGUUCUUAGAACUAACUUGGGUCUUCAUCAAGCAUCAAGGACAGUAUUUUUUAA
rnacentral:lncRNA from 1 species